rnacentral:rRNA from 1 species
CGAGCGGUAGAGAGGUGCUUGCACCUCUUGAGAGCGGCGGACGGGUGAGUAAAGCCUAGGAAUCUGCCUGGUAGUGGGGGAUAACGCUCGGAAACGGACGCUAAUACCGCAUACGUCCUACGGGAGAAAGCAGGGGACCUUCGGGCCUUGCGCUAUCAGAUGAGCCUAGGUCGGAUUAGCUAGUUGGUGAGGUAAUGGCUCACCAAGGCGACGAUCCGUAACUGGUCUGAGAGGAUGAUCAGUCACACUGGAACUGAGACACGGUCCAGACUCCUACGGGAGGCAGCAGUGGGGAAUAUUGGACAAUGGGCGAAAGCCUGAUCCAGCCAUGCCGCGUGUGUGAAGAAGGUCUUCGGAUUGUAAAGCACUUUAAGUUGGGAGGAAGGGCAUUAACCUAAUACGUUAGUGUUUUGACGUUACCGACAGAAUAAGCGCCGGCUAACUCUGUGCCAACAGUCACGGUAAUACAGAGGCUGCAAGCGUUCAUCGCAAUUACUGCGAGUAAAGCACGCGUAGGUCCUUCUGUUGGCGUU